GAUGAACGCUGGCAGCAUGCUUAACACAUCAGCAAUUGAUUGGUGGCUGACGGGUGAGUAACGCGUAAAGAACUUACCUCACAGUUAGGGACAACAUAUGGAAACGAAUGCUAAUACCUAAUACUGUGAGAGAGCUUUGGGUCCCAUUAGCUAGUUGGAGAGGUAACGGGGCGCCAAGGCGAGGAUGGGUAGCCGGCCUGAGAGGGGGAUCGGCCACAAGGGGACGGAGACACGGCACUUAAUCUGACGGGAGGCAGCAGUGGGGAAUAUUGGACAAUGGACCAAAGUCUGAUCCAGCAAUUCUGUGUGCACGAUGAAGUUUUCGGAAUGGAAAGUGAUUUCAGUUGGGAAGCGGUACCAACAGAAGAAGUGACGGCUAAAUACGUGCCAGCAGCCGCGGUAAUUC
rnacentral:rRNA from 1 species